GGCCGGAUAGCAGCAGCAAAAGGGACAACCGAAACCUUCAACAUUUCUUCUUCCAAAGCUCAUGCAAAUCACCACCAAAUCUUCUAAAAAAUUUAGCACCACUUAGCCUAAGUCUUGGACAACACAUUUAGCUGGAAAAGGGAGGAGCUUUCACGAUUCUUCAAGCUUCAAAGGGGCCGAAACUUCUGUCCUAACCAGCCAUCAAAGUAGGCACGCACGAGGACCUCCAAGAGGACCCUACCGUGGAAGUUUGAACUCUCCCUCCAACCUACUUGCUUGCAUAACUGGUUUGAACUCGGAGGUGAAAUGGAGAAACCCUCUUGAUGUACUUUUGUUUAGGGCUUGUUAUUACUUUUGGUUAUGCCUUUGGUUUUGGAAUUGUACUUUUGGUAUGGAAAUGUGACCUUGAGAACUGUCACAGU